rnacentral:rRNA from 1 species
AACGAACGCUGGCGGCGUGCCUAACACAUGCAAGUCGAGCGAGAAAGGGGAGCAAUCCCCGAGUAAAGCGGCAGACGGGUGAGUAACACGUGGGUAAUCUGCCCUCGGGCGGGGAAUAACAUCUCGAAAGAGGUGCUAAUACCGCAUAACAUCCGUGGACCUUCGGGCCUACGGAUCAAAGGUGGGGAUCUUCGGACCUACCACUCGAGGAGGAGCCCGCGUCUGAUUAGCUAGUUGGGGGGUAACGGCCUACCAAGGCGACGAUCAGUAGCCGGCCUGAGAGGGUGAACGGCCACACUGGAACUGAGACACGGUCCAGACUCCUACGGGAGGGCAGCAGUGAGGAAUUUUGCGCAAUGGGCGAAAGCCUGACGCAGCAACGCCGCGUGGACGAUGAAGGUCUUCGGAUUGUAAACUCCUGUCGGCAGGGAAAAGCGACACGACCUAAUACGUCGAGGAGUUGAUUGUACCUGCGGAGGAAGCCCCGGCUAACUCUGUGCCAGCAGCCG